rnacentral:lncRNA from 1 species
ACUACAAAAGAAACAAAAGAAACAAAACUAGAUUGGCUAGUCUAUCUCAAGCUCACGUCCUCGCUCGCCUUCCCCUGUAAGGAAAACAAAACUAAAGGGAUGAGCUAAAAGCCCAGUGAGGUUCCGAACACAUAAUCAGAUAUUCAAUCCAAUACAUUAAACAUAGAGUAUCAAUAAUUCAAGAAACAUUUACAAUGGAAAGCAGGAGUAACACAUUCAUUAAAAGGAUACGGCUCACAAGGAGCAAUUCGUUAUGUCGUUCAUUCGUUCUCCUGACAUUUCCCCUUAUUCCUCCAAUCAUUUGAAAAUACAUUUUUCGUUUAUCAAUAAACCCUCGUUCGUUCGUUCGUUCAUUCAUUCAUUCAUUCACCCCCGUCCUGGCCGUUGGCCAGUCUCCACCAACCUACAGGGUAAUACUCGAGUAUACCAAACGUUCACCCAAGUCCCUAAUCGCCCGACCGAGUCCGCUUCUGGCUCGAGACGACUGGUAACAAGGGCAAUGGCCAGUUCAGCCCAAAAGGCUUACAUUCAUGCGCAAGUAACAUUUCAAUCAUUAAAUCCUUGAAAAUUGCACAAUUAUUUAGGUCGAGUGCGAUAAAGUACACACUCGCCUAGAAAGCUCGUUUUGGAAAUCAUUAAAAGCACUUAACACAUUAGCAAAUGAUAACAACAAGCCAUAGAAUCAAAUAAGGAACACUCACCUAGAAAUGCAAAAUAUCGUGCAAAAUAUCCUUCCGGAUAUUACCCUUAAUCACCAAUGAAACCUAAGGUUGAACAAGAGAACAUUAUUAUGGUUUAUCGAGCAAAACAUUUAAGGGAAACAAAGAAACCCGACUAAUUAAGAGUAAAACGUGUAAAGAUGACUUUCAAGUAAGAAGAGGGUUGUUUGAACCCAAGGAUGAAAAAUCAUGUUUUAAAAUGGAAAACCGGUCAUGGUAUUGGCCUAACAAAAUUAUACAAGUUCAAAUAGAAACCUAGCCCUCGGGCGAAAAUUUGGGCAGCAUGCCCUUUGUGUUUACCUAAUUUUCCAGCCAUUUUGGCUUCAUUAUUUUCCUCAACCACAACCCAACAUCACACAUAAUCAAUUCAAGUCAAGAGCCGUUCCAUAGGCUCAGAAUAUCAUAAGAAUAAGAAAUACAGUAAUAACAAGUGCAGAAAUUCAAUUUAGCAAAAGACAGAUUUGACGUAUGAAAGCGGAAAUAACUUAUCCGAGGCUACGCUUAUCGGAUUAAAACGAAACCUAUGCCGUUUCGAAGUUAAGACACAAGGCUACAAUGUUCAUGAAGGUCACUUAGUCCAGUUUCUAAUGUAACUGGGUCAAAUUCUCAAAUUACUAAACCAGAAACCAAUUCGUCGGCUGUUUAAACGCAGAACACUGUAAUGGUCAUAACUCAGUCCACACAAGUCCGAAUCAGGUGUUCUUAGAGGCAUUUUAAAGCUAAUACAGAACACUACAACUUUCAUGUUUUGUCCCAGAGCUAAAUCAGAAUGAAUCCUGGUCAAAAAACGUGAUAAACUGGACUGAACUGAAGAAACGGACUGCUGGGAAAUACUUAAAACAGUAAGGGUAUUUUGGACUUUUCACGUCCUACGUUGCUCCGAUUGAGCUGAAAUUUUGUAGGCACCUAUAAAAUGCCAUUCUAUACAACUUUUCUUCUUUGACCUAAGGCCAAAUCAGCCUCUAACAUACAGAUACAAAUUCGGACAGAAUGUUGAGCAAAUUUUCCAGAUUUUGGAAUUUUGAGUUUCUAGUGCAACUUUCCUUAAUUUCUUGGUCUAAUCACUACCACAACACCUUAUAAACCCUCAAUUGCAACAUAUAAGCAUCAUACAACAAUUUGGGCAGAAUUUCCACAAGCCCUAGUUCAUCAAAUAAAUUGGGGAAAACUUCUAAAACAUGCUAAUCAUCCAUGAUUCCACCACAAAAUCAAACUACUAAGCUUAAUUUAACAAAAUUGAAAGCAAAACUUAGAGAGAUAAACUCUCUUACCUUGAAUAAAGGUCACUAAGAGUAGCCCAAGCUUCCUCUUUCAAAAAUCACACCACAAGCCACUAGCUAAUCACUCAAGAACAAGUUUAAUCGGUUUACUUUGUUUGUUUUCUCACUAAGUUGCUGGAUUUGAAGAUGAAAUGAAGAAAUUUCUCUCUUGUUCUUCCCCUCUCUCUCUCUCGGCUCCUUGGCAGAAAUAUGAAGAGAAAUGGAGCUUAGUUGCCUUAUAAUAAAGCAAGAGGAUUAGGACUAAUGGUGUCCACAAAUUGGGCAAACACUUGGACUAAUCUUGGCCACAAAAUUUUUCUCUUUCUUUCUUGUUAUUUCUAGCCUCACAUUCGGUCAAGCUUGCUGCCAAGAGAGAAGAUAUUUUGCUCAAGUUCAAUAAAUUUGUUUGGUAAGGAAAAAUGGUGGUCAAGCGGUGCGUUCAAACGGUAGUGCGUGCGACCCGCCGGUUCGCGCCGUUUUUCUUAAAAACUCACGUACUAGGGUUUUUACUUCCCAUUCACUAACCUUAUAUCAUUGCCACUAGUCACAUAUUAUUUUUCACUUAAAAGUCACUUUUAAUCCCCAAAUUAAUUCUUACUCUGUACCGAAAAUUCAUCCGGCGAAAAAUCGCGAAAACCCUAAUUUCGCUCCAAACUUAAAACCGAAGCGUAAAACCCUAUUUUCUAGGUUUAUCUACACUUAAUGUGAAAUAUUUGGGUAGUGGGCUUUGAUAAAUAAUAAUUUUCAAAUAAAAGGGUAUUUUUGAGAAAAAUACAAGAAAUAUGCGAGUCCUCACAUUCUCUCCCCCUUAAAAAAAUUUCGUCCUCGAAAUUUUACCUUCAGUUGCCUCAGACGAGUCCGGAACUUGUCGGUUGUCUAAAGCAUAAACCUUUGCCGGUCCGCUAGUUCGUUUCCCUCCUUCAUUCACUUGUGACUUAGCUCCAUCCAGUUGCAGAGUAUUGCUUUCACGUGACUGUCUCCUCGGACAGUUGCUAACUUGAUGAUCGCCACUUCCGCAGAUUAAACAUUUCCGCCCCUUUCUCCAACAAUCGCUUUCGACAUGAUUUGCCUUUCCACAGUACCCACAGACCACGUGAGAAGCCAUCUUUUGGCUUUCUUGAAAACUUUUCCCAAAUCUGAUUUGGCUUUCUUUUGUAGAUCCUUCACCUAUCGCCCGUAAUGUCCAUGGUGGGUGGGACAAAAAGUUCACUUUUUGCACUUUGGAAGGGACUCUCGCUUCACUUAAUUCCUCCACUACACUACUCGAUGCACUCCUUUUCUGGGUCUGGGGAGCUUUUAUCUGUGCCUUUGCAGUCUCGAUUCUUUGAGCUUUCUCAAGGGCCUCCGUAAACGUAUUCACUUGUACUGCCGCUAAUGCUUCUUGGAGUUCCAAAUUUAAUACUUGUAUAAACCGUCUUACUCUUCGCCGUUCUGUGGCCACCAAUUCAGAAGCAAACUUGGAUAGUUUCGUAAAUUUCGUUUCAUAUUCGGCCACACUUAACGUUCCCUGGCGUAGUCCAAUAAACUCUUCCUCUCUCCUCUCUUGAACUAAAGGAGGGAGGUAUUUCUCAUUAAAUUCCCUUAUGAAAUUCGUCCAUGUCCAUACGGUCUGUUCUCUUUCCCAUUUUGCUUUAAUAACGUUCCACCACGCUCGGGCCGAUCCUUCAAAUUGGAACACCGCAAAGUUUACUUGUCUUUGUUCGGUGUAGUUCAAGACGGUGAAAAUAUUAAUCAUGGCCUCUAACCAUUGUUCGGCUUUAUCCGGAUCAGAUCCUCCAAGGAAUUUCGGAGGAGUAAAUUUCUGGAACCUCUCAAGAGCCUUAUCUUCUCCGAUUUCAGGGUUUCGAGGUUGAUUCACGGCCGUUUGGCUUUGUUGAUCCACCAGUCUUGCCAAGAUAUCUGUCAUUUGUUGCAUUACCGUUGCCAUUUGGUCUUCGGCUUCAACCCUCGUUCCUUGCUCUUGUGCAGCUGUUGUUUCUCUUUCCUCUCUUGGCUCUUGAGCUCGUUCUUUCCCACGGCCACGUCCACGUCCACGGCUACGUCUCCCGUCCAUAUAUAUGUUUUCCCUCUCUUUUCUUUUCCCCCAAAAGGUAAUUUAGUAAAUAAACACGAUAAGGUUACGAAAGUAACUAUUGAGGGCACCAAAUAUUCAAAUAAACAUAUACCCACAUAACACGCCAUACCGAGAAGAUGGAUAAGCAAAUACACAAAUACAUAUCAAGUUGGACAGAUAACCAUGUACAUACAGGUAUACUAACGUCAUGUAGUAACAAUAUACAGGUAAAUCAAAAGGAAAAGGUGAAGUCGCCCCAGUAUCAGCCCGUCUGGUCUCUCACGUCACUUACUAUCCAAACUAGAUGUCCCUGACCUCUUGUGCUCAUUCUAGUCAGACAAAGCCUGUUCAUGUUCCCAAAAUACAAGUCUCAAGUAUUUAGCAGCACCUCAACUAUAGAGUACUCAGGCACGAGAAUCCGAAAUAAGAUAAUUCACAUCUCGAGCUGCAGUCUCAAGAGUAAACUAUCUACAAUCGGAAUUCCUACCUGACAUACCUAUCUAUGGUCUUCAGAUACCAUGAAAAAGAUUUAAGGCCUAUAACAUUCGCAAUUCAUAGCUUCACUUAGUCCCUCAUACUUUUUCACCACUUAGUCCAGGGUCACUCCACGUAGAAACCACGCGAAGCAGCUAUAAGUUUUAUCCCUCAAUCGCUUAACUUUCAAGUCCAAUCAAAUCCCACAGUCCGGUAUCCUAAUCUUUAAUCUAGGAUACACUACAGAGAUCUGAAGCCUAAGCUCUGAUACCACUUGUAACGACCCCACCUCCCCCUAAGGCGUACCAGAGGGUUCGGCGGGCCGCCUGCCCAGCUCUCGCCGGGACUCAGUCGUUCGCUACAGUCCUCAAUUAAAAAUUGAAAUAAAUCACAAGAAUAAAUAGGGCAUUGAUCCAAACUUAAAGCGGAACUUAUAUACAUUGCCAACCCAAAAGAGAAUAUAAACAUCAAAUAUACAAGGGUUCUCAAUCCUUCAUACGUCCAGCCCGUGCCAAGCACUAGGCGAGAACCACUACAAAAGAAACAAAAGAAACAAAACUAGAUUGGCUAGUCUAUCUCAAGCUCACGUCCUCGCUCGCCUUCCCCUGUAAGGAAAACAAAACUAAAGGGAUGAGCUAAAAGCCCAGUGAGGUUCCGAACACAUAAUCAGAUAUUCAAUCCAAUACAUUAAACAUGGAGUAUCAAUAAUUCAAGAAACAUUUACAAUGGAAAGCAGGAGUAACACAUUCAUUAAAAGGAUACGGCUCACAAGGAGCAAUUCGUUAUGUCGUUCAUUCGUUCUCCUGACAUUUCCCCUUAUUCCUCCAAUCAUUUGAAAAUACAUUUUUCGUUUAUCAAUAAACCCUCGUUCGUUCGUUCGUUCAUUCAUUCAUUCAUUCACCCCCGUC